rnacentral:rRNA from 1 species
AUUGAACGCUGGCGGCAUGCUUUACACAUGCAAGUCGAACGGUAACAGGGAGCUUGCUCCGCUGACGAGUGGCGAACGGGUGAGUAAUGCGUCGGAACGUGCCGAGUAGUGGGGGAUAACGCAUCGAAAGGUGUGCUAAUACCGCAUACGAACUGAGGUUGAAAGUGGGGGACCUUCGGGCCUCACGCUAUUCGAGCGGCCGACGUCUGAUUAGCUAGUUGGUGAGGUAAAGGCUCACCAAGGCGACGAUCAGCAGCGGGUCUGAGAGGAUGAUCCGCCACACUGGGACUGAGACACGGCCCAGACUCCUACGGGAGGCAGCAGUGGGGAAUUUUGGACAAUGGGCGCAAGCCUGAUCCAGCCAUGCCGCGUGUCUGAGGAAGGCCUUCGGGUUGUAAAGGACUUUUGUCCGGGAGCAAAUGCUGGUGGCUAACAUCCACCGGAGCUGAGAGUACCGGAAGAAUAAGCACCGGCUAACUACGUGCCAGCCGCCGCGGUAAUAC